ACAGGCGGCCUCUCCUUUUCCAGCGUCGUCGUCUUUUUUUGUUUUCUCCUGUUGUGAGGACCAGUUUCUGGGCCCUAAAUGCCGGACCAGAUGCUCAAGUGCGGUGAGGAUGACAAGGGAGAGUGGAUGUAGGGUCUCUGCAAGCGUCCUGAGAAGGAAAGCUGUCCUCACUCGAGGAUGGGAACGGAAAAGGUGCUGUGCCAGGAGGAUCCAGUGAAGACAAAGGAAAACAGUGGUGUGGGGGUUGGGAAGGCACGGGGCCGGACGCCGUGAGAAGAACUGGGACUCUCCAUGUUCACCAGCCCCGGCAAGAGAAUAAACUCAUCGCCAAGAGUAUUGAUUGUCAUUCUCAGAAACACAGACCUGGGUCUUUGGCUCUUGAUGAUUCACCAGCAAGUGACUUUCCCACAGGAAGGAAUGAGGGCUGGUCCUGGAUGAGGACCUGACCAUUGGUUUUUCUCCAAUCCCAGUUCCCCGCAUUGCUGAGGGACUCGUCACACGACAUCAGGGCCAGGACAGCGCCUCGGGCUUUGUGCCACUGCUAAGGUGCCGGCUACAGAUCCCCCGGCCACUGCUGGCUGUGCCGUCAGCUCUGGUCUGUGUUUCCCGCAGCGACCUGUCACCUUGUGGUAUUGCGAUCUCUGUUGCCUCAUGCAAGAAAGGUGGGACGGUGCGAGUGAAAGAGUGAUCUCUGUGACUUUCUAGGCUUGGGCUUUCUGGGCUGGAGAUUUAGAAACUGCCCUGUUUCCCCUGAUGUGUGGCGCUCCUGUAAUCAUGGUCAAUGAUCAAGUGAAUAAUUGCUUCUGGAGUUCCCGUCGUGGCGCAGUGGUUAACGAAUCCGACUAGGAACCAUGAGGUUGCGGGUUCGAUCCCUGCCCUUGCUCAGUGGGUUAACGAUCCGGCGUUGCCGUGAGCUGUGGUGUAGGUUGCAGAUGCGGCUCGGAUCCCGCGUUGCUGUGGCUCUGGCGUAGGCCGGUGGCUACAGCUCCGAUUUGACCCCUAGCCUGGGAACCUCCAUAUGCCUUGGGAGCGGCCCAAGAAAUGGCAAAAAGACAAAAAAAAAAUCAUAAUUGCUUCUGCUUUAUGAUUUUUAUGGCCUGCACAGCUAGGUUUCUUUUAGGUUUGGUUGAGUCAGUGUUUAAGAUGCUUUUCCAAUCUAUUAUGAUUCUUCUAAAAAUUGUACUCGUCGCAUCAUACAUUAAUGUUACCCUGGGAUCUCAGAUUGGGACAUUUCUGUCCUCUCCCUUGUCCCGGUAGCUAGAGCUUGUUUCUCUGGAAGCUGCAGUGCAGACAGGACCAUGCUCAAUUUUCUAGGCCAGCAGACGUUGUUCUGUUGAUGUCGCCAAAUGUUCUAUUUUUGAUCAGUGUGAAACUGAAAAUAAUCAUAUAUAUGUAAUUUAGCUCAGAUCCCUUACUUUCUCUCAAACUUUCACUUUAUGAAUAAUAAUUGUAAUAUGUGCUAGUCAGGGCAGGCUUACUGCUGUAUAAACCCCCCCCCCACCCCAUUUCAGUAGCUUAACACAAUACAAAUGUGUUUCUUAUUCAGAUGAGACGGAUGGAGGUGUUCCAUUCAGCCAAUCAGAGACUCAGGGCUUUCCAUCUUAUGGGUCCACCUUCUUCUAGAGCCCAAGUGACUUGUCUCUUCAGCUGGUGGUAGGAAGAGAGUUAAUAUUAUUAAGCAUUGGAGCUGGUUACAGCUCAGACCUGGAGGAGUCCCCAUUACGUCCACUUCAUUUUAUGGACUAGAAUUUGAUGACACAACCAAACCCUUGUAUGAGGGGCUUCCAAAUAUAGUCUAGGUGUGACAGCCAGGUAAAAAAAAGGAGGACAUAGAUAUUGGCAAAUGCCAGCAGUGUUUACCAUAUCAAAACUAAAAAGAAAAAAAAAAAAAA
rnacentral:lncRNA from 1 species